GUGUUUUUAACGUGUCACUUAAAAAAGGACAGCUCUCUUUUUUUCCUGUUUUGUAAACUAUCUCCAUGUCUAUUUCUCCUUGUCUAUAGAUAGUUCUUCAGCCUCAGCAGAAGCAAGUUCUCCAGGUAAAGCCCUCUACUGUGCUUUUAACUAAUGAAGCAAAUGCCUUAUUUUCUGUGUUUCAUUUAGACAGUAAACUUAUUUAAAUAACCACAUUAAUCACAAAGUGAAGUGUGUGAAAACUACCCCAGUACCACUCUACCCAUUUCAAAGCAUCCUGUUCUCUGGGGUCACGCCCAAGAUCCAUCCUGAACCACCGCAGAGAACAUCUCCUCUGGUGAUCUUUCCGACACAAUCACAGUUUUUCAGCUUUCUCUUUGGAAAGGGAUCCUAUGUUCAUUUCCUCUUCUCUGUUCAUAGACGUGUCUUCAGCCUCAGCAGAAGGGAAGAGUGGAGAGCCAAGUGAUGCAUCUUCGACUUCUGCAGAAGAAGAGACAUCCUCAGGUGAUACUUCCUCUCACUUUCCUUACGUUAAACAACCUUCCUCUAAUUGGCAAAGGCAUACAAUUGUGGGUCUCCUUUCGGUCUCUAGAUACGUCUUCAACCUCAGCAGAAUCAAGCUCUACAACUGGU
rnacentral:lncRNA from 1 species